CUUCUAUUCCUUUCCUCUCACUCCUCUGAAUCAACUUGGAAAUGCUGCCUUUGGUGCAGUCCUCUGGCUGAGCCCAGGGUCAUGGCGCUCACUCAGCCCCAGGCGAUGCUCCGCAUGGUGGAGACUGGUCUUCCAGCUAACACCGCCAUUUUGGGAGCACUUAUGGCUGACGGGCAGGAGUCUGAAGGGGUUGGAAAGCUGAGGUUUGAUAUGAACCUUCUGCCAAGGCAGCUGCCGGAAUAAGGGCUGGGGAAUAUCCAGAUGGGGAGGUGAGCAUGGCAGGCCCCAAGCUCCAGACCGCUUCCAGCAGCCGCUGCAGCAAUCUCUCUCCUUCUGGAAAGUUUUACUGAGGACACAUGUGGCGUUUCUGCCUCUGCUCCCCACCCCCAAUGACAAGCGAAAACAAAGAAGAUAAAAAGGGAAAGCAAGAGAAAGAGGAAAAAAAAGGAAAGACAGCGAAAGAAGAAUCCCUUCCCUACUCUCUGCCAGUAACAUUGACUUUCUGGGUGGUUGUCGCCAUUGCUGCUUCUAGACCUUUUCUUCUCAUUGCUCUGAUAUUUCAAUCCCCCAGAGCAAGGUCUGGGGCAUCUUUCUCUGCAUCUUAAGGCAAGAUCCAGUAGACAGCCAGUGAGCAGAAAAUAACUUGAGAACAAAAAAGUAUGCUUUUAAAAUUUGUUUUCUGAGCAGACUGAUGAUCAGGUAAACACUGUAAGCGUUCAUGAGUGGGCAGAGAAACCAAAUUAGAGAAAACACUCCCUGCGCUCACCAUGGAUCUGUUCCCAACCUCCUCACCAAUUCCUCCCACCCUCAAAAUUAAUUUCUUCUCAACAGUCAGCCCAAAGGAAGAGCCUGAAGAUCUCAGGAAUGCGUGCUCUCAAAACAAGUUGUUUUUCAUCUGCGAACUGGGGACUUUUGCUUGAAAAACAACCAUCUACGGCAUAAACAUAGCAAUAGGACACGAGCAUGUUGGAUGGGCCCAUGAGGAGCUCUUCUUGAAGACAGCUACCUGGGGGUAAGGUCCUUCUGCUAUAGUCAGUCUGAGCACACAGAGAUCCCCCCACACCCCCAAAAAUGUCCAGGGACCUCUGGAGAGAAUCUCAGAGGAUUUUCAGGUAUGCCAGCCCCUCACUGCAAAAAGGAUCUCCUGGCUUGAGCCACUCACCCAGGCUUGUCCUCUGUUCUACUUUGGUCACCUCCACACUGAGCUCCAGAGCCCUUCACCUUGGUCCUGGUCAAAAUAGGGAUGGGAUCUCACUAUGUUACUCAGUCUGGUCUCAAACUCCCGAGCUCAAGCAAUCCUCCCGCCUUGGCCUCCCGAAGUGCUAGGAUUACAGGUGUGAGCCACCGCACCUGGCCUCUCUUAACUUUUGACCCAGUAAUUCUUCUAGAAAGGUACUCUUCUGAUAUACUUGCCCAUAUGCAGCAAGAUCCAUGCACAAGCCUGCCCAUUACCACCUUGUUCAUAAGAGCAAAAAAUUGAGAGCAACCUACAUGCCCAUCAGAAGAGGACUGGCUAAGUUAAUUUGGCACACCCAGAUUAUAAUAAACAGUCCUUCAAUAUGUGCUGAUAGGAAAAGAUCUGUGAGCCAUACUGCCAGCUGAAAAAAAGACGCAGAGAAGUGUGUGACUGUAUUGUCCCUAUCUUAGUUGG
rnacentral:lncRNA from 10 species